AAACCAUGUAUCAAGCAUUUUCUAAUGAAUUCCUUGAAUCGCUCCCAAGCUUCAUACAAUGUCUCAUCUUCAGAUUACUGAAAAGAUGUAAUAUCAUUCUUGAAUUU
rfam:Gossypium raimondii Chr09_contig_758, whole genome shotgun sequence.